rnacentral:rRNA from 1 species
AGAGUUUGAUCUCGGCUCAGGAUUAACGCUGGCGGCGUGCUUUAUGCAUGCAAGUCGAACGGUCAUAAGCAAUUGUGACAGUGGCAAACGGGUGAGUAACACGUAAGUAACCUGUCCCUAAGUGGGGGAUAGCUCUGAGAAAUCGGAGGUAAUACCGCAUGUGGUGACUCUUCGCAGGGAGGGUCUCGGAAGCCUUCGGGCGCUUGGGGAGGGACUUGCGGCUUAUCAGGUAGUUGGUGGGGUAACGGCUCACCAAGCCGAUGACGGGUAGCUGGUCUGAGAGGGCGAUCAGCCACACUGGAACUGAGACACGGUCCAGACUCCUACGGGAGGCAGCAGCAGGGAAUAUUGCGCAAUGGACGAAAGUCUGACGCAGCGACGCCGCGUGGAGGAAGAAGAUCUUCGGGUUGUAAACUCCUUUUUCUGGGGACGAACAAUGACGGUACCCAGGGAAUAAGUCACGGCCAACUACGUGCCAGCUGCCGCGGUAAUACGUAGGUGGCAAGCGUUAUCCGGAUUUAUUGGGCGUAAAGAGGGAGUAGGCGGCCUUUCAAGUCGGAUGUAAAAUCUCUCGGCUCAACCGGGAGGGAUCGUCCGAUACUGUUAGGCUGGAGUGCAGCAGAGGGAGCUGGAAUUCCCGGUGUAGUGGUGAAAUGCGUAGAUAUCGGGAGGAACACCAGUGGCGAAGGCGAGCUCCUGGGCUGUAACUGACGCUGAUGCCCGAAAGCGUGGGGAGCGAACAGGAUUAGAUACCCUGGUAGUCCACGCCCUAAACGAUGGACACUAGGUAUGGGGAGUAUCGACCCUCUCCGUGCCGAAGCUAACGCUUUAAGUGUCCCGCCUGGGAACUACGGUCGCAAGACUAAAACUCAAAGGAAUUGACGGGGGCCCGCACAAGCAGCGGAGCGUGUGGUUUAAUUCGAUGCAACACGAAGAACCUUACCAAGGCUUGACAUGACGGAAGUAGCGAACCGAAAGGUGAACGACCUGUUGAGUCAGGAGCCGCCACAGGUGCUGCAUGGCUGUCGUCAGCUCGUGCCAUGAGGUGUUGGGUUAAGUCCCGUAACGAGCGCAGCCCUCGUUGCUAGUUAAUUUCUCUAGCGAGACUGCCCUGCAAAACGGGGAGGAAGGUGGGGAUGACGUCAAGUCAGCACGGCCUUUAUGCCUUGGGCUACACACACGCCACAAUGGAUGGGACAGACGGUGGCAAUGGAGUGAUUCGGAGCCAAUCCUAUAAACCCAUCCCCAGUACGGAUUGCUGGCUGAAACCUGCCAGCAUGAAGCCGGAGUUGCUAGUAACCGCGUAUCAGCAUGGCGCGGUGAAUACGUUCUCGGGCCUUGUACACACCGCCCGUCACGUCAUGAAAGUCGGCGACACCUGAAGUCGAUGGGCUAACCCGCAAGGGAAGUAGUCGCCUAGGGUGGAGCCGGUAAUUGGGACGAAGUCGUAACAAGGUA